GGCACUGUGCUAAACUCAAAUGGUGGGGAAAGUAAACACAGACCCUGCCUCCAUGGGACCCUCAGGGGAGGAGACACAUAAACAAAUAAUCAGACAAGUAUAUAGCCACUGGGCUAGACAGGAAAAGUUCAGGGUCCUGUGAGAGUAGGACAGGGGGUCCUAACCUAGUGGGGGUGACAGGAAAGACUGAGAUCUGAAGGAUUCAUUCUUUCAACAAUUAUUUUUGAAUGCCUACCUCUUGUCCAAACAGUGCUAAGGCCUGGAAUAAGUGGCCGCAGAGAUUUAAAUAAAUGCAUCCCAGAUACAGAGUUAAAAGCAUGCCAACAAUGAGGGCUGUGUGGUUUGGAGAAGAGCAGAAGAGCACACUGCUUUCAGUCAGGCAGAGGCAGAUUAGAUUGCCUGCCACCUCCAGUGGGAUGGUGGCUCCGGACAGUCACUCACCUUCUCUAAAACCCACCUCCACCUAGUCUAUAAAAUGCAGAGAACGAACAA
rnacentral:lncRNA from 1 species